UACGUAGGGGGCAAGCGUUAUCCGGAUUUACUGGGUGUAAAGGGAGCGCAGACGGCAUGGCAAGUCUGAAGUGAAAGGCAUGGGCUCAACCUGUGGACUGCUUUGGAAACUGUCAGGCUAGAGUGUCGGAGAGGCAAGUGGAAUUCCUAGUGUAGCGGUGAAAUGCGUAGAUAUUAGGAGGAACACCAGUGGCGAAGGCGGCUUGCUGGACGAUGACUGACGUUGAGGCUCGAAAGCGUGGGGAGCAAACAGG
rnacentral:rRNA from 1 species